GGCUUCAGGGAUUGAACACUAGGCGGCAGGCUUAACACAUGCAAGUCGAGGGGUAACGAUGGUGCUUGCACCAGGCGACGACCGGCGCACGGGUGAGUAACGCGUAUGCAACCUACCCAUAACUUGGGGAUAGCCCGAAGAAAUUCGGAUUAAUACCCAAUAAUAUUUUCUUGAGGCAUCUCUUGAAUCUUAAAGUUCCAACGGUUAUGGAUGGGCAUGCGUAGCAUUAGAUUGUUGGUGAGGUAACGGCUCACCAAGUUGUCGAUGAUGCUUAGGGGGUCUUAAAGGAUGGUCCCCCACACUGGUACUGAGACACGGACCAGACUCCUACGGGAGGCAGCAGUGAGGAAUAUUGGUCAAUGGGCGCAAGCCUGAACCAGCCAUGCCGCGUGCAGGAAGACGGCCCUAUGGGUUGUAAACUGCUUUUAUAUAGGAAGAACAUGUUCUACGUGUAGAGCACUGACGGUACUAUAAGAAUAAGCAUCGGCUAACUCUGUGUCAGCAGCCGCGGUAAUACGGAGGAUGCAAGCGUUAAUCCGGAUUUAUUAGGUUUAAAGGGUGCGUAGGCUGAAAAUUAAGUCAGUGGUGAAAUCUUGUAGCUUAACUACAAAACUGCCAUUGAUACUGGUUUUCUUGAGUAUAGUUGAGGUAGGCGGAAUGUGUAGUGUAGCGGUGAAAUGCAUAGAUAUUACACAGAACACCAAUUGCGAAGGCAGCUUACUAAACUAUAACUGACGCUGAUGCACGAAAGCGUGGGUAGCGAACAGGAUUAGAUACCCUGGUAGUCCACGCCGUAAACGAUGAUUACUCGUUGCAUGCAAUACACCGUAUGUGACUUAGCGAAAGCAUUAAGUAAUCCACCUGGGGAGUACGUUGGCAACAAUGAAACUCAAAGGAAUUGACGGGGGCCCGCACAAGCGGAGGAACAUGUGGUUUAAUUCGAUGAUACGCGAGGAACCUUACCUGGACUUAAAUGUAGCGUCUUUCCCUGAAAGGGUAUUUCUCUUCGGAGCAAGUUACAAGGUGCUGCAUGGCUGUCGUCAGCUCGUGCCGUGAGGUGUCGGGUUAAGUCCCAUAACGAGCGCAACCCCUAUUGUUAGUUGCUAACAGGUCAAGCUGAGGACUCUAGCGAGACUGCCACCGUAAGGUGUGAGGAAGGUGGGGAUGACGUCAAGUCAGCACGGCCCUUACGUCCAGGGCUACACACGUGUUACAAUGGUCGGUACAGAGAGCAGCUACUUGGUGAUAGGAUGCUAAUCUCGAAAGCUGAUCUCAGUUCGGAUCGAAGUCUGCAACUCGACUUCGUGAAGUUGGAUUCGCUAGUAAUCGCGUAUCAGCAACGACGCGGUGAAUACGUUCCCGGGCCCUGUACACCCCGCCCGUCAAGCCAUGGAAGCCGAGGGUGCCUGAAGUACGUUACCGCAAGGAGCGUCCUAGGGUAAAAUUGGUAACUAGGGCUAAGUCGGAACAAGGGUA
rnacentral:rRNA from 1 species